rnacentral:lncRNA from 1 species
UUUAUUUCCUCACCAAAACACGAGACAAAAUCAAUAAAUUCAGUAAACAGGAUUGAUAUAAAUCAAUUCACAAAUUUCGUAGGCAUGCUAAUCAUUUAUGAAAUUACUAUAAAAUCAUGAAAUUUUAGAAGGGGUCCACUCACAGUACUUAGUUGCCAAAAGUUGCGCCACUAGCAAAGAUGGAAACGUCACAAUAAUUGCCCCUAAGCACAUAAAGAGUCCAAUAAAUAAAACUAUAUAAUAGAAAUUGAAUUUGGGAAAACGGACAUUGGAAACGGAUUCAGAACGUCGAAUUACCCUAAGAAGGGUCCCGGACGAAAACCCGAAAAGUCAACCCUAAAGUCAACAUUGACCGGGGGUCAACGGUCAAAUUAGGUCUAACGGCUUUUAGGCUUGAAAUCCGGAUUAAGGUUUAGGUUAAAUAGGAUUAGGAGAUAUUGGGUUUUCUAAGGUUUUUGGGUUAAAAGGGUUUAGGGUGAAGAAAUGUGGUUUGGGCUUAAACCCCAAACACACACACACACACACGGCAUGCAUGUGCAUGCAUAAACACAUACACACACACACACCCACGGCACCAAGGCCUUAAGGCCUCACAAAAACUAACAGGGCUUAAAGCCCUUUAAGUCAAAACCGGCCCAGGCCUUAAGGGUUUUAAAAACCAAGUAACAAAACUUAAAAACUAAAGGGGCUAGGGUUUUGGGCUUAAGACAACACGGGCCUAAGGCCCGAGGGGUUUUCUAAAGGGCCUGAGAGGCCUGGUUUUGCCUAAGAAGAAGGCUGGAAAUUCAGCCGGAAAACCACCUAAUUUUAAACAGCCAUAACUUUAUCACUACUCA